UACGUAGGGGGCAAGCGUUGUCCGGAAUCAUUGGGCGUAAAAAGCGUGUAGGCGGUCCGGUAAGUCAGCUGUGAAAGUCAAGGGCUCAACCCUUGAAUGCCGGUCGAUACUGUCGGGCUAGAGUCCGGAAGAGGCGAGUGGAAUUCCCGGUGUAGCGGUGAAAUGCGCAGAUAUCAGGAAGAACACCCGUGGCGAAGGCGGCUCUCUGGGACGGUACUGACGCUGAGACGCGAAAGCGUGGGGAGCGAACAGG
rnacentral:rRNA from 1 species